rnacentral:rRNA from 1 species
UACGGGGGGUGCGAGCGUUGUCCGGAAUCACUGGGCGUAAAGGGCGCGUAGGUGGCUUCUUAAGCGUGCGGUGAAAGCCCGGGGCUCAACCCCGGGUCGGCCGUGCGAACUGUCGAGCUGGAGCACUGUAGAGGCAGGUGGAAUUCCGGGUGUAGCGGUGGAAUGCGUAGAGAUCCGGAAGAACACCGGUGGCGAAGGCGGCCUGCUGGGCAGUGGCUGACGCUGAGGCGCGACAGCGUGGGGAGCAAACAGG